rnacentral:ncRNA from 1 species
CUGUUGUAUGAAAGGGGGGAGGUUAAACUUCCCUUGACAAGGAUGCGAGAGGACCUCAGCCUAAACAAGAAACAACACAUGGUUAAGGCAUCGCCACUAGGUUUU